rnacentral:misc_RNA from 1 species
GAACGCACCUUGCACCCUUUGGUAUUCCGAAGGGUACGCCCGUUUGAGUGUCAUUGUACUCUCAACCCCAUGACUUUUGUUGUGUGGGUUGGACUUGGAUCCCGUCGCGAUCUGCGACUGAUCCGAAAUGUAUCAGCGUGUGUUCGUCGUGACGAUAAACCGAUUGUUAAAUUUCAUCGGGCUCGCUCUGUCGAGGUUGUCUGACGAAAGCACAUGCCAAAUCCCCUUACUUUUGACAAUUUGACCUCAAAUCGGGUGGGAUCACCCGCUGAACUUAAG